UUUGUAUUUUUAGUAGAGACAGGGUUUCACCAUGUUGGUCAGGCUGGUCUCAAACUCCUGACUCAGGUGAUCCACUCUUCUCAUUUUCCCAAAGUGCUCAGCUUACAGGUGUGAGUCACCACACCCAGCGAUUCACUUAGUUUUUCAAGUUACAUCCAUUACAUAAGGUCACGUAAGGUGGGAUCAGGUUAAAGAAGAGAGAUAGCCUCACUAUCAAAACAACAAUGACAUCGUGGUGUAUGUUCCAAGUUACAGAAUUUGAAAAGUUGUUAUUUCUUCUUCACUCCUCCUCAGCUACACUCAAAAUGCUGUCAUAAAUUCAUGCUGCUUUUUGAUGGUGGAAUCAAAAGCCUGUGUGUGUGUGUGUGUGUGUGUGUGUGUUUUCAGGCUGGUGUGCUAUUGAAUCCUUACAAAACAAGACUGUCUCAUGUUUUUAUUACUUAUUUUACUCAAAUUGUCAUUACAGGUACUUAUUAAGGAAACAUUUAGACCAAUCCUGGGGUGAUUAGAGAACAGGAUUGGCGUAAAGAAUGUAACUUUUACUCUGGUUGGCCUCUUACUACUAAAGGGUUUCAGUGAUUUGACAACUCCAGUAAUAUCUCUGUAUCUCACCAUCUGGCAGCAUUUCACAGUGCCUGUUUGAUGAGUAAGAGGUGCUACAAGAUCAUUACGAGGAAAUUUCAGCACCAACAAACAGUUUCAACAAUUGUUUAUGACCACUGGGUAGUGCUGCAAACAGACACAUACACUGAAAUGCAUUGCUUUGUUUUAGAAACACAGGUACUUCCUGCUGUAGUUUUUAAUUGUUUCAGUAAUGCAUGUAUGUCUAGCUGCACUCUUUUUAAUUCAUUCAACAUCUAGCAUUUAGUGACCCCAUCUGAUCUGAACAAUGCUUCUCUUCCAGGGACUAAUACAAUUGUUUUAGAUUAUUGUUUCUUCCCUGUAGCUUCCAAAAUAAUCAAUAACAAAUUACCCAUUUCAUUUAGGAAACAGAUAUUUGCUCCCUUGGAAUCCAAAUUAUAUUUAGAUGUUUUUAUUUUUGCUGUAUUCCAUAAGAUCCCUGACCAAAUAGAUGGUCAGAGAAGGUUAUAACUUAUGUAGCUCUAACUCCCAUGUCUCCAGAGAAGAACAUUCUGCCAUCCUAAAUUCUGCAGCUAGUGAGACUGGCAAAUCACUUAUUUUUAAUGCUAGAGACUCCUUUCUCCCAGCUUGAAGAGUUGGCAGCUCUGGUUAGGGAAUGAUGCCAGAUCUAAGCAAAGUUGACUUAAAGUACAGGUAAUCUGGGAGACUAGUGGUGCUAUGAAUGCACACAGGACUCAACUCCCAGCUGGGUUCAGAUUAAAAGAGUCUGGCUGAGAUCCAGAUGAGAUGAAAUUUACUACUUCAUUUUGGGGAGUCUCGGCUUUCAUUAAUAUGCAUCGGUAUAUCUUAUAGAAUUAAAAAUAUUUGAAGCAAGGAAUAAAAAUGAAAAAACAGUGUAUACUGAAGAAAAGCGUAUUCCUGUUCAUUUGGCAUAGAUCAAAUCAGUUGAACUCAGAACUAUAGAAUAAAAUUACAGAUACAGAUGUCAAGAAAGGAAUAUUUGGAGAAAAUAAAAAUGAAAGCAACAAUGAUAAAUUCUGAUACCAUUUGAUAACAUAUAUCAUUUCAUUUCAACAAAACAUACUUCUACAAUGCUACAGUAACGGCAUUAAAUUAUGUGUUUUCAUUCAAAUGAAGUAAGAGAAGAUUCUUGAUGCUAUGAAUGCUAUCUUCUUAGAGUAAAUCAUAUCAAUAUUUUACCAUAAGUCCCAAUUGUUUAUGUCAUUAGAAUAUUAGGCUGUUUCCUCCUUGACUUCAUUAAGAUUAUUCAUCAUGUCAAGUUUUUGCUUUUCUAUACUAGGAAGUCUGCUGUUUUCCAAAGAGAAUGAAUGUAAGUUACAAAAUUUCAAAUCAUCCAGCUGCCUUAUUUUCCUAUCUGGAAGCACAGGCCACAACUCCAUCAGCAAGACAUAGUAACUAUAGCCUGAUAAAAUUAAUUCCCAAAAAUUACCUUAGAGUUUUAAUCUUUUCCAAAUGGAGGUCAACAAAAUACAACAGUCACAAUAAUAUUCAAUUGAUGAGCGCCAAUACUUUCCUAGCUCUCCAUGUUGUAGAGGGUGCCUUCAUAUAUUUUAUUAGCUUCUUUGGACUUCUCAAACAUUCCUUGAGAUAAGGAGAUAAAGCAUGAUUAAAACAUCUGUUUUCCAGAAGAGGAAUCUAUAUGCCCAAGGACACAUAGUUAACAUGUGGCAAAAUCAUCCUCAGGUCUUUCAUUUCAAAUUCCUUGCUCUUUCAACUAUUUCUCAAGAUAAAUGCAAAAGAGAUUAUUUUUCUUUUGGUGUCAUAAGAGAGCCCUGGCCUGGCCUAGGAAUUGGGAGAACAUCGUCCUCAUGUGCCAGAUCAGUGAUUUGUAUAGGUUGUGUGACCUUGUGUUUCCCUACAUCAACUGUAAAAUGAAGGCUCUGAACUAGAUCAUUUUAAGUACUUACAGCUGUAAAAUCCAAUGACUCUAUUUAAAAUAAUGUAGGAAGCUUCAGAAAAAUUGCAUCUAUAAUAAAUUUUAUUGCUGAAAGUUUCCCAGAAUGUAUCCUGCAAACUACAGUGCCACAUGUGUUAAUAUAUAUUAUGGCAUAAAAGAAUCUGUGGGUAAUUGGUUUUGCGAAAUGCAGAGUAAAACAAAAUUAGGCAUAAUUUCUUUAUGGCAGGACUUCUCCGUGACUUCAACUUUCCAACUGCAGAGUGAAACUAGAGAAAGAGCAUGGAGAGUGCACAGGUCCAGGCAGGGUCCAUGGACAUGAUCAUGGCAAUAAUGGUCCAGGAAAGUGUCUCUGAGAAAAGCCUCAUGUCCAGACUGUCAGCGAUGGUUCUCAAUGGGCAAAUCAUGGCAUCUCCUGAUAUCUCCUCUCUACCAAAUGGACCUUGAGGUGGCUACGGGCUGUGUAUUUAAAGACAUAUCUGGUGGAAUAAAAUUUAAAGAAGUUUCUUAAAAAAUAUAAUUGCAAACUAAACUUUUAGACUGCCUUAAUUCAUAAUCACCUCAACUGCCAAGAUUAUUUAGCAAUAUUGAAGAGAUCGUUUCAUUCUUCUUUACCUAUAGCAGUGCUGGAUAAGAGGAUUUCUGGAAUUUCUUAGAAUUUCAUAUUAAGAAUACCCGAGUAUCUUUCCCUUAGUAUGCUUGUUGAUGUUGAUGAUAUGAUACAAAGCUAUUCGAGGGAGGUUCCCAAGAUUCAUGUUUCGAUUAAUUGCCACAACAUGUACAGCAGCACUUGCCUUCAAGAUCAUUGGGGGUGUGCAGGGUUGUCAAAUUGGCACGCAGUGUCUACAAUCUGAUAAUUUUUUUCUUAUUACUGUUUUCAGGAUGAGAAUAUGAAGCUGAUCUGAAUGCUUUUGACAUCCAUAGGCCUUGCAAGAUAGCUCUACAAUAACCAUAACAGACAGGUUCUCUAUACACAUAAAUCAUAGGUAGUCCACAAGAAGGGGACUGUUACUUUCAGUUUGAGGAAAGAUUUCUCCUGUUUUAAAACAGUAUGACUAUGUGCCUGCAAGACUUACAAAACAUAUAUACAUGUGCAAAGGCUCCAUUCUUGAUAUAUAAUUUUAACAACUUUGUCUUAUUCGUUUAUUUUCACGUUGGUGGUGAAUUACAUGAAAUUGACUUCCAUUUAUUUUUUCAGUAAACAGCUAGUUUUACAAACUACAUUUGCUCCCUGAGUUAGUUAUUCCUAUUUUUAUUUCAAAAACUGGAGUGGAGAAAGAAUUGGAAAGAAAACCUACUACCAUUCUUGAGAACUAUUACUAAUUUCGAGAUGUACAUCUCAAUUUACUCCAGAAGCAAUGGUUCAUCCAGAGGUACCUUGCAAUCAGUGAUAUAUUUAAUUAGACCCUAUAUCUUUUUGAGAAAAGCAAGGCCUGAUAUGAAGGCUGUGUGUGUAUAUUUUUGUGGAAAAUGGAAAGAAAUAGGAAAAGAAAUUUUCUUUGCUUUUGUAAAGUGAUGUUUAUGUGAAAUUAUAUUAGUUAAAUGCCUUAAUCACAAACAGAAAGGAUUGGAUGGCAAGUCAUCCACUUAUUCUCUGUGUUUUUGCAUUUUUAUAUUUCUUCUAAAAAUGUACCUAUUGCCUGAUUUCUCCUAGGUUGUGAGGCUGAAUAAGGCAGAUAGUUCCCCAGUUUCAUGAAACUUUCAAUGGAGUGUUUGUGUUUGGGAGGAUAGGAGGAGCAGGAAAUAAGAAGCAGAAAUAGCCUGUGGCGUGUUCCUGAGUGUUUGGCGGAGAAUAUUUAAAUGUCAUGCAAAAAGAAAAGUGACUUAAAUUUGUCCAGGGAAGCCUACUCUGAGGAGUGAAUUUUAUACUGAGAUGUAAUUGACAGAGCAAAACCAACCAUACCAGGAUUAGGAGAAGAGUUAACAGCAGAGCAGAGGUACCCAGGUAGUAGUGAGCCCACAGGUUAGGGGAAUGGAGAGAAGGGAGCCCUGAGUCCUGAUCAUGCAGGAUAUUGUAAAGCCAAAGAGAUAAAUUUUACUUAAAUUCAGGUUACAAUGGAAAGCCACCAGUGUAUUUUAAGCAAGAUUAAAUGGCAUACUUUCUUUGGUUUUGAAGAGAUAUUCUGGCUACUAUGUGCAGAAAGGAACCAUAAACAGGAAAGCAGCUCAGAGACUGGAGGUGGGCUUGUCUCAUUGACCAUGGCCAGAGGCUGACAAUUUGCAGCAGGAAGUGCUGGUGAGAAAAAAUUUGAUGUAUUUUAGGCUUUGAUUCCAUGUUUUAAUAAUGAGGCGUGGGAAGGCAAAAUCAUUGCAACUCACUCAAUUCAAAGAGAAGAGCGACCAGUCUGAGAGGGAAAGUGGGUGGGAAGUGGAGAGCUUAGAGAAGUAUCUGCAAGAUGAAGUAAGGAUGAAUGACAAGUCUUCUCAGCAAGCUGAAGCAGAUUCAAUAGAUAAAAAUGGGCAUACGACUGCAAAGCAUGUUUAACUUCUUGUGCUAGACCCAUAAAUGAUUUAGACAGAUUUUUUUUUCAGAAAUUAAAAAAGAUCAGUCAAAGCAAUUAAGAAAAUGUAGGGACUGUGCUUUCAUUCAUUUCCACUUUGAACGCAGUGCUAUGUUUGAAACUAGGAAGGAUAUGAAACGUUGUUUUGAGAGUGCUCCCACUCAAAGGCCUGUGCAAGAUCAUCUCCAUCUCUGAGACCUAGCCCAGAGUGCUUACUAGUUAGAUUUCAUCUUUAUAUACUGAAUUCAUUAUUUUUAUCUUUCAAAAUCAGAACAUUUUAAAAAGAAAAGUUAAGUAGGAAAACAGAGCAGAACAACAGAAACAUCUGAGGGUAAGAGGAUAGGCAUGUGGCCUGGGCAAGGAUCCCUGAGGGGGAAGAUGCCGACGAAGAUCCUAUUAGUGUUCACUUAUCUUUCCUCAAAGGAGAACAAAAAAUAAAGACCAGAUGCCCUUUUCAUCCUAUUUUACAUUCAUUCCUCUUUCCCGUUGUCGAUCCUGUCAUAGGCAGAAGAUGGAAAGGGGAAGGCUUCAUUGCAAGGACUGAUCAAAGAUAAAGUUAGAAGGUCAGAAGACAAGGCAAUGCAUGCAGCCUCUGUAGUGGGGCUGUGGAAUCACGAACACUGCUUGGGCGUUAGACGGUCUUCAGCAGCUUCCCAAGAAAGCUGCUUAUUAGAUUUGUGACCAGGACCAGGGGGAAAUCCCUGGAGCCUCAGUUUUCAUAUCUUCGUAAGGGGAAAUAAUAAUAAUAAAGAUGCCUGGAGGAUCAUUUGUGAAUACCUGUAAAAUGCUUCCCACGGGGCCUGUGGCCAACCCAGUUCACAAUUGUCCACUCAAUGUAAUGGACGUUGGCAUGUUGAAAUGUAGAUCACUCUUUUCUUCAAAGCCCUUUUGCUCUUUUAUACAGUAAAGAGAUGCUGGGAUAUGAAAGAGAUUUGAAAUAACUAGUUCCCCAAGUUAGACUAGAAUGAACUGAAAUAGAGAGGGGAAAGAGAGGGAGGGAAAGAGAGAGAGAUUGAGAGAGAGAGAGAGAGAGAGAGAGAGAGAGAGAGAGAGAGAGAGAGAAACAGGAGGAGAGAGAAGAAAGGGGGAAGAGGAGAGGAGAGGGAAGAAGAGAACAGGGCUAGAAUGGAAUGAGCUAGUCAGGAGCUAAUUAAUGGCCAAAGAGGAAGAAAAGAAAGCAAUGCAAACAAAUGAAAAUGCAGCCAAGGCAGAAACACACUGGAUAGGAAGAUGCUUAACAGAGAAGUGUCUUGCUGCUGUGCAGGAUGCCUCAAUCUAAAACAGCAUGAGAUGAGUGGCCUUCAUUCAUGGCCACGAUCACUGAAGCGGCUCCGAAGUGGCUUUGUACCUGUAAAAAUGGGCUUGUUUUGAUUUUUUGAACAUACAGUUAAAAUUGUUGUCUUUAUUGUAAAGGUCCAUGUUUCAUUUAAUAGUCUACCAGAAGUAUGAGGACAUCAUGUAAAAACACUUAAAUUAGAAGAAAUAGUAAUAAAAAUAAAAAUAAAAAUAGCCAUUUUAUUGAGAGUUUAGCUGAGUGGGGCACUGACUUCUUUCCCUCCAUUAUCUAAUGUUGAACUCCAGGCAGCAGGUUUUAUAUUUAUGUUCACUUUAGAAAUGAGGAAAUGGAUGUUUAAGAAGUUGAGUAACAUCCGAAAUAUCCCCCAGUUACUGGCUGACUUCGGGACUCAGUCCUGGGUCUUCCUGACCCCAGACUUCAGUGUCCCUAACCACUAUGUUAGGAAGAAAAUAUAGGAGAUAGAGAUGAAUAAAUGUAAUCUUCCUCCACAGAUGGGUAAAAUCACAAGCUUGGGAGAACUGACACCAUAAUGUAGGAAUUCUUCCCUGGACAAGUUGAAAAUAAUUCUAUUUCAGUACAUUAAAAGGCUUCACUCUGUUAAGAUUUUGGAGAAGAAUGAGCGAAUUUGGUAGUGUAACUAAGAGGCGGGGGAGUACUGUCCCUUAUGGCUUGGCAAUGAGCAGGAGGGCAGUUCACAAUGGAGAGACGCAGACGCCUUUGGGGCGGUGCAGCCAUAGCGGAGUGCGCCUGGGACUGUGUGCCCCUGGGACUGCAUGUGCCCCGCACCGCCGCCUGCCCUGCGCCAGGAGAACCCAGAGCACGGCUGGGCCCAGACUGUCCUACCACGGUUUCAGCAGGCGCAGGUCUCUCCAGCAGCUCCUAAACAGCUUUUGUAUGUCCUUUCUCCAAAGUGUGUGGCUCAUAGGCAGGUUCUGUGCUUUUGAUGACAAUCCUUUUUUGGGUCGGGAUCAUUUUGAUCUGUUGCCCCUUCUGUCCAACCUUUGCUCUUCCCCCUGGUCCUUCUCACCCCGUCCCUUCCUGUGCCUGUCUGCACACCGACGUCCUCGGUCCUCGGGCUCCCUCAUUCUCCGGGGUUCUUGGCUUGGUGUGACUGGGGACUUCUCACACCUGGCUUGUCGUGGCGCUCCAGGGCUAUUGCAUCUUGGUUAAAAGGCCUGUCUCUGCAGACUGAAGGUUUUCUGCGGUCAGGAUCACGCCUGUUCGGUGUCUCCCUGACCGCCCUUGGAGUCUGCUCAAGGUAUAUUGGCUGGAAUGUUCUCAGAGACCGGCAGCCCAGGAGUGCUGAGUCGCUUGUGUGUCCGCUGUUUACACUGUGCAUGCGUGUGUGUGCAGGGAAACAGCCAGGCAGAUGCACAUGGUUAUUUAUAUCUUCAGAUUAUUUCUGUGAGGAAAAUUCUAUCCUGGUGAAAGAGCUUGCUGUUGAGAAACAGUAACUGUACCCAUGUAGACGCCACCGUAUUCACUCAAUGUAUUUGACAGGCACACUCAUAUUGUCAGGGUAAAAGGAGGCAGUAGCCUCUUUGAAAUGCAGGGACAGAGCAAGUGACGAGGAAAAAACACACAGCAGGUAUGUCCACAUUGUUGUGCAACCAAUUUUCAGAACUCUUUGAUCUUACGAAACUGAGACAGCCUAACUAUUACACAGCAACUCCCCAUUCCCAGGUCUCCCCCAGCGCCUGACAGCCACCAUUCUACUUUCUUUCUCUAUGAAUUGCAUUACUCUGGAUACCUCUUCCGGUUUUUAUUAUAGGCCUACUUGACGUUGUAAAGAAAUCAAAUGUUUGGCCCAGUAGCCAUCCUCCUCUCUGCUUGCUCCAUCAACUGAAAUUCAACUGGUAGCUUCAGUUCUAGAAGAGGGAGCCCUGAGCGCUCCUGACUUGCACAUGCGCUUGUAUGUACACAAAAUGCCCUGCUUCCUAGUUUCUGCCUGCAAGAAUUCCUCCAUAUCCCUGCCCCAGGGCUUCCUGCUUUACUUUCUCUUCACAUCCCUUCCUGUAGACUCGUUUGAAAAAAAAAGAAAAAAAAAUAUGUUUGCCUCGUGAGCUCCCGGGGCACAGCUUUGCUGCCUCGCAGUAGCCCAGCCGACUCCACUCGCAAGAACAGUGUGUUCUUGAAUUUUUUUAAAUAAAAUAAAAUAAAUUGUACUUUCAUAUUAUACAUUAUAAUUGAGUGUGGUAGAAAUAAAAUUUAAUUUCAGGUGCUUCUGGUAAUGUGGCUCUGGGGUUUCUACUGAAAAAGUAAAAAUUCAAUAAAAAGUAUUCUUUAGGGAGGUGUGUUUUUAAGCCUUUUAGACACUUAAAGCUAACUUUUGGUAAGCGUUCAUUCACGAACUGUACACUCUUAUGAUUUCUAUUCAUAUUUUCUCACUCUUGCUUAAAAAUAUAUUUUCUUAGAGAAGAACUGUUUUUUCAAUAAAAAUAGAAUGAAUUCCCAUACAUCAGUCUCUUCUCUAUAAGUGCCCUUCUGAACCCCAUGUACACAGAAGACAGUGAAGACAAGUGAAGCUCUUUAGAGAGCUAAAUAAUAGAUGCAGAUGAGUGUCUAACAUCUAUGCAGACUAGGUUCCUGAUAAACAUUGAAUUAAAUCUCCUGGCAGGCCAGGGUAUUAAUCUGGGGAGAAGGAAAGCCAUGUGAGUUAAAAGGGGAAGUAUCACAGAACAGAAACAAACAGUGGUACCUGAAGUAACCUUAGCAAUAAUAGCCUAAUAAGAAAUGAAGAAAAGGAGAGAUGGGGAAUAAAUAAACUGGCAUCAGAGACUCCUGGGAAAGACUCAUAAUUA